CCCAGGCCCCGCCUCCUAAAGCCCGACACUCUCACCUGUCAGUGAGAUCAGCAGGCAGCAGCCACAGACCCGUGCAGGCAGUGCACUGGCCAGCCCUCCCCUCUCCUCCAGCGUCCACUCUCUCCUCACUCCGGGUCCUGACUGAGCCUGACACACACAAGCUCCGCCCCCAGACUGUAACUACACGAGCAUGUAGUUGCUGCUGAUCUGAUGUUGCUGCAUGAUGUCAGCUGCGCUGAAAAAGAUAAACGCAAGUAUCAAGUGAGAGAGGCGUGUUCACAUUCUGAACGGGGAAAUAACUGCUGUGAUGAAAGAUAAUGUACAGGUUGGUUCGAACCUGCUCUGCGAGUGUGAGAAAUACGGAAAACGCUUAUGUGAUUUCCAGCUUUUAACCACAGUGUAUGGAAUUAUUGCUAUUUAUCACCCAGGAAGGAAAACUCUACUGUAAAGUCUAUGUUUUGUGUUGAUUAAUUGUUCACAGUGUCAAGAAAGCUGCUAUUGACAAGCAGUCUGAUAAAAGGAUAAUGAGGGGAUUUUUACUCGUGCAUGGAAUGUGCUAGUGCCAUGAAUUCACAGAAAGCCUGUUCACUUAAACUGACAAGGUGUAUAUGGGAAUUAAGUUAUAAUUUGUAAAUUAAAUAUUAAUGUUAAACCUAAAAUAGCAAAAUAUUUACAUAUAUGUAUAAACAACGCACGACAUGGCUUUAAAAUGAUUGAUAAAUUACAACCUAUAUCUUGUACUGGGAUACGAUCAGGAUGCCAGCAGUCAGGAUUCUGACAGCCAAGGUUUUGGCACUAAGGGGGGGAGACUUAAA